rnacentral:tRNA from 1 species
GCCCCUGUAGCCCAAUCGGAAGAGGCACUAGAUUUAGGAUCUAGUCAGUACGGGUUCGAGGCCUGUCAGGGGUA